GCCCUCGUAGCUCAGUCGGUAGAGCGCAUCCUUGGUAAGGAUGAGGUCAGCAGUUCAAAUCUGCUCGAGGGCU
rnacentral:tRNA from 1 species